UCCUCAGUAGCUCAGUGGUAGAGCAAUCGGCUGUUAACCGAUUGGUCGCUGGUUCAAGUCCAGCCUGGGGAG
rnacentral:tRNA from 13 species